UUUUUUGGAAAUGGGGGGGGGGGGCAUCUUUUGAUAGUCUUCAUAUAAAGAAUGAUAAAAGAGAACAGCUAGAACAUGUAGAAAGGUUGACAAUAUUGAAAUCAAUUGUUGUUUAUGUAAUUUCAUUUCCUUAGUUUAGGAUUCAAUUUGGACCAAUGGAAGAGAUCUGCAUCUUCUAAAUCUAAACAUUUGAUUAAAGUUGAUAGUUAAUUAUCUAAAAUUCAACUGAAUUCUGUCAUUUCACAACAACUACAAUAUUUUUUGAAAUCUUGAUUGUUUACCACUGAACUGCAGGCUAGGGCCAUUUUCCAUUUUUCUUAAGAAAGUGUGGACUGAAAAAUCUAUUCAGUUUUAAAUUUCCAUUGAUAAAGUUCCCAGUUAUAACUCUCAUCACAGGGAAACAGGUACUAAUAAAAAACAAUAUGAUUGAUGUAAACUGUGUGAAGCUUGUUUCCAAAUCCUAAAUUUGAAAUAUUUGUAAAUUUCAUGAAUAAAUAGGUUGAAACUACAAAAUGCAACAUUUUUUUUUUUUUUUAUUUUUUUUUUUACCAUUACAAUGAUUAUGUUGGUACACAAAAAUUUAGUUUAAAUGGAAGACUACUAAUCCAAUGAAAUGUCACAUUUUAAGUGUUUAAAUACAUUAACUUUUAUUUUAGUGGAUAAUUACUCAUCAGUUGAGGUGCUCCUGAAUUGGAGGAAGAUUCUCAAAACAGAAUUUUUACAGAAAAAAAUCAAUAAAAUCGUUUCUCUCCCCUAUCUCAUGUAACCCCACGAUCUUUGUUUACUUUGAAAGUUGCUGACCUACAAAUUAAAGUAUUGCAUGUUGAUGUUUGAAUCAUCUACAGCAAACAAUAUUAUGUUUAGAUUUAGCAAAUACCAAUUUGUAUUAGUGCACGAUCUCUGGGAAUGAUUUAAAUAACCAGUGAAGGAUAUCCCUGCUUCUGCAUAGUGUGGCAUUCCAAGAAUGACGUCACUAUAAAAUACAAUGUAGGUUGGAUAUAUUUAGAAUAUCUCGUCAUACUAAUUUUUCCGGAUUGUAAAAGAAACGUAAAUAGAGUAAAGGAGAGCUCAAGAUACGAUAAUUUCGUCAGAAACAGAAGGGAAAUGUGUAAAAAAGUGUUUAAAGUCAAACUAUUCAUUUCUGGGUCUCCUUCUCUUCAAUCUAAGUAAGAUUUGUUGGGGGUUUUCCACACUAUAAAAACAAAAUGAAUGAUGUGAGGGAAUGUCACUCUGGUCAACCCCAUAGGGGAUUGACAGCUUGAAGCCGUCUUUCCCCAAAAAAUGUUAUAUACAUGUACAUGUAAUACUCAAUUUGGGAUAUGGUAUACCAAAUUAAGAGUUAUUAAUUUACUUAUGCAAACAUUUUUAGGGGGAUUUCAGGGCUCACACUACUUCAGAAUCAUAGGGGGAAGUGACUUCUCUUUUUAAAACUGAUAGGGAGAAGUGGUGAGAUUUGAAAGAGAAGUGCUCCUUCGUGCGCUUUGCUCCAAUGUUUGGAUCUUACUAUAGUAUAAAGGGUCAUGUAAAUAAUGUUCUUUUUAUAUUUAUAUCUGAG
rnacentral:lncRNA from 1 species